rnacentral:rRNA from 1 species
GACGUAGGGCGCGAGCGUUGUCCGGAUUUAUUGGGCGUAAAGAGCUCGUAGGCGGCUUGUCGCGUCGUCCGUGAAAACUUGGGGCUCAACCCCAAGCUUGCGGUCGAUACGGGCAGGCUAGAGUUCGGUAGGGGAGACUGGAAUUCCUGGUGUAGCGGUGAAAUGCGCAGAUAUCAGGAGGAACACCGGUGGCGAAGGCGGGUCUCUGGGCCGAUAUCGACGCUGAGGAGCGAAAGCGUGGGGAGCGAACAGG